UGGGGAAUUUUGGACAAUGGGGGAAACCCUGAUCCAGCCAUCCCGCGUGUGCGAUGAAGUCCUUCGGGUUGUAAUGCACUUUUGGCAGGAAAGAAACGUCAUGGGUUAAUACCCCGUGAAACUGACGGUACCUGCAGAAUAAGCACCGGCUAACUUCGUGCCAGCAGCCGCGGUAAUACGUAGGGUGCGAGCGUUAAUCGGAUUUACUGGGCGUAAAGGGUGCGCAGGCGGUUCGGAGAGAAAGAUGUGAAAUCCCUGAGCUCAACUUUGGAACUGGAUUUUUAACUACUGGGCUAGAGUGGGGCAGAGGGAAGUGGAAUUCCGAGAGUAGCAGUGAAAUGCGUAGAUAAGCGGAGGAACACCGGUAGCGAAGGCAGCCUCCUGAGAUAACACUGACGCUAAUGCACGAAAGCGUGGAGAGCAAACAGG
rnacentral:rRNA from 1 species